rnacentral:rRNA from 1 species
UACGUAGGCAGCGAGCGUUGUUCGGAAUUACUGGGCGUAAAGAGUGUGUAGGCGGUGCUCUAAGUUCGGUGUGAAAUCUCCUGGCUCAACUGGGAGGGUGCGCCGGAAACUGGAGUGCUUGAGCGUGGGAGAGGAAAGCGGAAUUCCUGGUGUAGCGGUGAAAUGCGUAGAGAUCGGGAGGAACACCAGAGGCGAAAGCAGCUUGCUAAACAAACAUUGACGCUGAGGCACGAAAGCGUGGGGAUCAAACAGG